GCGUGAGAUCUUGUUUGAUGGCUGCUUUUUUGUCGCAGACGAAGACGUGGUUUCUGACGGUGGAGGAGGAAGGUGAGGCAUUGACAUGGAUCUAGCGGAGGAAGAGAUUGCGUUGUCGAGUUGACGAUUGAACGAGUUGAGCUCGAAGGAGUCAUAGAGUGUGCUUUCGCAAUCCCAUACUUUCUUAUUCUUCAUCUUAUGAACGUCUUCUGUGUUUUGUUUCAGUGGUUAUUUGCAGAUUGUAUAUAAACUGAGAGCUAUACAGUUGGAGUGUUUGGUGAAGAAUGAAACGCGUAGCGAAGUAAAUUGUCUAUGUUUGAGACUUCAACUGCACACGGUCUCUUCAUAUGUCAUACGUUACAAUUAAUAGCCUCUCUAUAUGUUUUAUUUAUAUUUAAUAUCUAGAAAUUUUGAAUAUAAGGUCGUUAGUAUUUCUAUGUGGCUAUGUCCAAAACCAACGAUGAUAUACGACACUUUCUUUAUAUAGCAUGAAUCACUUCUUUUUA